AUCGAACCCUCCUCCCCAUCUCAGCCCUCCCGUCGGACCGACGCCGCCGCCGAGCCCUUCCGCCCUCUACAGCCCCCUCCACCGCUAACCUGUUCAACCUCCACCAAUAUUAAUGGUGCGGGUGCAUCGAGGUCGACGUCGCCUCCCUCCACACCCAUCUGGUGUGCGAGGUGGACAUCGCCGUCCUCCCUUGGGCUCCGCCAUCGAGAUUGGUCAACACCGUCGGUGCUCGAAGCUUGCCUCCCUCCCCAACACCAGAUCCGACGGCAGCACCGAGCCCCUCCAUCGUGCCGCAAGCCCGCCGACGGCAAGCACCAGAGGAAGCGGUGCUUCUUGGCUCCUCUACCAUCUCUGGGUCGUCGCGCCACCACCAUGCCGCCACGCUCUACAUCCCCGCGGACCUCCAUCUGAUGACCAUGGGCGGGCUUCCUCCACCCCGAUGGCGAGCGCAGUGCAUGCUCGUCACUACGCAGGUACAAAAGGCUGCUCAGAUCUGUCAAGGUGGAAACCAGAUGCAGGUGAGUUUUCCUUCCUAAGGCUGUGAACCUCUCCUCUCCUUAUGAGGAAUCUUAUACCGAGCACGCCCUGUAUCAGUUCUCUCCUUUUUCCCGUGGCCCUCCUCAUGGAGGUAUGCCUUUUUGGGUUGCUAUUGAUUGUUGUGGUUGAUUGGAGGAGCGAUCUAAUUAUCACGAAUUCACGAAAGGAAUUGUACUCAUAGAUUUUCUGUUUACAGGUACUGAAGACAUAUAAUGAAUGUUGGGAUCCUUUCCCCCCUUGUCUUUGAAGGAUUUGUGUGUAGAAUAAUGAGAUGUAUAGGGGGGUUGAGUUACAGAGGGAGUUGCUAUCAUCAAUUCAUCAUGCACAUACAUGCUAGUUCCUUAACUCUCCUCAUACUCACGUGAUUAAUUCAGUGCAUGUUAAACAUUUUUUACGUCUGUUUCAGUUAUAGAUGCUGCUCCUCUCUAAAUAGGUGGCUGGAAGAACCCCUAUCUUUAAUUUUGCCUAAACUUGUAACAGGUCGUGGAUUAAUAAAGGUUACUUUUUCUGUAAAAAAAUGUACGCUCAGUUGUGGACUGGACUGCAGUGCUUUCUGUAAAAACAAACUUCAUACCUUGUUUUCAUAAUGUCAGAAAACUAUUCUUGAUGGUUUUGUAGGUUGACGGCGGAUACUUGAGAGUAUUUGGUUUAUGUAACUUCUAAGCAGGUUCAUUGAUUCUAGAGUUGCCGCCUUCUGUUAUGUGUAGAUGUAAAUGUAAAAGAAACAGUAAGUAAUCUCCCUUUCUUUUCUUUUGUAUUUGUCAUGAUUUUAUAUAACAUGUCUUAUUGCAGCUAUGCAUUGCUUCAAUUGUACUGAUCGCCUAUGAUAAAAAGGGAAUAAUAUUUUGUCCAAAGUGAGCAGAUGAGAGAAUAAUAAUGCUUAUUUUCUGACAAACAAUGUGGCUUCCGUAAUAGCCUACAGUAGCUCUGGACUGAACUAGACGGGCGCUCUCUGCUACCUUGCAAGUCUGUGUGUUACCUCACAUGAAAGUAUACUCAUUCACACGCUGCUAUAUUAUCUCCUAAUGCCUUCCCCUAAUAACAGAGCCCGUAAUCAGUACAUGUCAGGAAUAUGUCCUCAUCUGUACACAUAAAUUUCUACUACUGUACAUUGCAUCUUAUUUAUUGUAUGCUUUUCUGGUCUAAUGAACUGGAAUUGAAGUCCUGUUUUGGUUUGUUCUUAAAUCUGACGUAUGUACCUGAAUACCAUCUAUGGUUUACUUUCUUAGAUACAUUAAAUUUUAGUAAGUUUCAUGGAAACAAUUUUGCACAUCUAAAGUAUGGUGCGACCCCUUCUGAUUGCUUUCCGCACUAUUGUAUAUUUAAAACAUGAUUCAUAUAUGAUAUUUUUCAAUUUGUUAUCCUCCCAUAAUCACCCAGUUAAUGUAUUCCGCCAUUAAAAGUAUACCAGAUGCUCUUUUAUUACUGUAUUUUACACUCUUGGGUACAACUUAUUUGUUUUGUUGUCUUUACUAGGGAGACACUUCAUUGUUCUUUUAAGUGAUCAAAGUCAGCAGAAUUCUUUUUUGUAACAUUGUUCUCAUCUCUGAACACUUACAAUGAAACACAUUAAUUGACAUAUGAUUUGUUAGCUUUCUAUAACGUUUUAUUUCUCUGAAAUCAAUUAUUGCAAAGAUUCAUUGCCAGUGCUCCAUGUUGUAAAGAUUCAAUGUUUUAGUGGUUAUAUUAACCCAAAGUUUUCUUUAAAUGGUUAUCUCAUUACAUCCAGCAUCUGCUGUUAGUUGUUUUUCAUCUGUACCAUCUUAUCUGUUCAGGUUGGCAUCACACUUGAAGAUCUUUUGGUUAACAUGUAGUUAUACUAGUGAACUAGGAUGUCUACAUGGUGAUUCAUUUGUUCAUAGUGACAACACAAUCAGGUGGGGUGAGGCUAUCAAUCUGUGAUCUUUCAAGCAUUGCAAGUUUGGUGCUCUUCUGCUGGCGACAUGGGGCCAUCUUUGAAUAAUGCAGUUUCACAUGAUGAUGGCGAGUCUGGUUUUCAGAACAUCUCAUGAAAAUGGCAAUGUCAUUUGACAAACGGCUGUGCUGAAAUAUACAGAAGUGUGAACAUGCCAUUGUUUCCUAGACAUAGUUGUAGCCUUAUGUCAAGCUCAAACCGUUAGUGUAGCUUAGUUUGAAGACAUGACAUCUUAUUGUCGCAUGUAAAUUAUGUUUACCGAUGUGGUUGGUUGCUACUGAACACAUCUAUGGAUGUUGAAAUCUUGAAUUUUUAGUUUGAAUGUGUUUCAGGUCUGCUAUUGAAUCUUG
rnacentral:rRNA from 1 species